GUCAUAAUCAAAGAAUUGAGUUUAACAGAACAAGUCCACAUAUGACAUUUUACAAGAAUAUGACAGGACAACAGAAGUUGUGAAUUUACAAUGGAAUGGGGUAUUCUAUUCCCACUAUUACUAAUAUAACAAUAAAAGCCUCAUCAUGAGCUUCAUCUAUUGAAUUGAAAUGUCAAGAUUAAGGGACUGAAAUGAGAAUUUUUGUAUAUGCUGGUUCAUUAAGUAAGAGUAUGUCACAAGUGGGUUGAGUUGUUUUAGAAAGGGAAAGACCGAUAAGCUAAGGCAUAAGCUAUUUUGGAAAAAUGAUUAUGGAGUUUUGGAGAUAGAAGAAGCUGCAAAUUGGGGAUAAGCUGCUUUCAACUUCCUGUAAUGAUUCAUGCAGAAUAUUACAAAUAUCUACCUCGGUGCUGAAUGUGAUUGAAGAUUGCAAAGUUGUUGUAGUCGUAUUAUCAAAGAAUUAUACUAAUUCUAGAUGGUGUCUUCAAGAAUUGGAGAAAAUAACUGAGUGUUACCGAACUAAAGAUGGUCCCAUUGUUUUACCUUUGUUCUAUGAUGGUGUCUAUUCCCCCAACAGAAGAUUGCAGGAAGAUAUGUUCGGAGAGGCUUUACAUAAUUUUCUGGAUAGAAUCUCAAUGGAAGAGGAAACAACCUCUUUCGAAGAUGAAGACAAGUUCAUGAGUUGGGUAGCAGAAAUCAGUGAUGAAGCUUCCAAAUAUGCUGCGUGAGCUUAUUUACGAUGCGGACGAACAGGGUAAACAGAUAACAAAUGUAGUUAAAUGUGCUACUCUUAUGAUAAGCAAGAAAAGAGCCUCAUUCCAUAUGGAGAGCAUACAUUCUCGUGCCCAAGAUGUGAUUCAACUAUUGAAACAAUCAAAAUCUUCUCUCCUGCUAGGGAUAUGGGGGAUGACAGGGAUUGGUAAAUCAACCAUUGCCAACGCCAUUUAUACUCGGAUUGGGAACUUUUUUGAGGACAAAUGCUGCCUAUAAUAUGUCAAGGGAGCAUUUCGUACUCUUUUUUGAUAAUUUUUACUAUGUGAAUGAAAUUCUGGAAAAUUGUAGUACAAAUAGAGUAUUGCUCAAGUGUGGUUGGACCAAUAAUUAUAUGUUGUUUAUAUGUAUAUGCAUGCUAGUGGUGACUAAUGCCUUUGUCACCAUUGUUUUGGUUGGUUGGUUUGAAUGUUCAAGUGUGGUUAAAGUGCUUGUUUGCGUCAUUUACAUACCAUAAAUUUAAACUGUUAUGUCUGAAGUUUUCUUCUGCCUUUGUGCAAAGACUUUGCGUAGUUUAAAAACCUAAAUUUGUUCAUUUAUGUCCUUUGUCAUGCCUUGUUGUUCUAGAAUUUUAAUUCAAGUAUACAUUAUUGUUUAGUACAUUUAUUCUAAAGGGUUAAUUCACCUCUUGUUCAAUGCGAGGUUUAUUUGGCUGCUUUCGGUAUGGAAUCAGCACUCUCAGCAACCAACUUUGAGACUAACAGAGCACCCUGCUAUUGUUAAGGCAUUGCUGGUCCCCUCACCAGAGCAUCCUUCUUGUGUCUGGACAAGGAAGUGCUGAUAGAGAAGUUGAAGGAUAUCAUCACAUUAGGGAAAUAAGGAGAGGUACAUACAUAUAUCAGAAGAGAUCCUAAAUAAACUCUACAAUAUAAUUGAAGAGUUCAGUUUACUUUUUCAACAUUCAUGAGAUUGUUGGACUAUUUUACACAUUGUAGUAUUAUAAUUUAUGUAGAAAAUGAUUUAUAUUCGUUCUAAAUAGUGCUAUUUAGGUGAUUUGUUAACUGGUUUAUUAGCACAAUGGGAAAAUAGGGUAUAUAGUUAAGGAAUGCAAUUUUAUAAAAAAA